AGGGAGGAGUCGGCUUUGAUGUGAGAAUUCUAAAUUCUGAUCUUAGAACUGUGACCUCAUAGGUCCACUUAGUAAGACUGAAGUCAGCAGACUGAUUUCACAGUGAGUGAGGUAGUGAGGCUUCAGAUCACAACCUAAUCACCACUCCUUCCCUUCUUCUUCCAAGCGGAGAAACUCUAGUGGCUACGGACUCCAUGGAAGAGGACCAGCUCCCUCUGCAGAUGUAAAAGGGCUCAUUUUUCGGUGUUUAAGUUAAGUAUUUCUUUAAGCAUUCUUAUUUUCCUGUGAUGUACUAGUGAAACAAAGUUAUAGUAAUAGUUACAGGCUUUGACCUGAAACUUUGGUCAGUGAUCUCAAAAAUCUGUAUAGAAGCCAGGCUCAGGGCAUGCUGGGAAGUUUAAUCAUAAACUGGUCUCUGAUUGGCCAUAUUUUUCCUGACGUGUGUAAAACAGCACAGACUGGUGUUGGACUGUGAAGUGUCUUUUGGUGCUUGUAAAGUUGUCCGGUCGUGUGUUUGUGGUACCCCCCAAAGGAUGAGCCUUAGUUUGGGUGCCAGUUGAGUUUAUUUAACUGUGGAAAUAUAUCAGAAGAGACACACAUAUGUGUAUGUGUGUGUGUAUAUAUGUGUAUAUUUAUGUAUAAUAUCAGGGCUAAAUUUACAAGCUACAAAGUUGUUGACUGUGAAAAUAGGAAAAAUGUUUUGGACUUGAUCUGAUGUGCAGGUAUGAUGAUGAGAAAAAAAAUGACUCUCAGAUUGUCCCCGAGGGGGGUAUUGAAAAAAAUCCUUAUGGAGUCACAUCACUGCAUGUAUACAAUAUCAUCUGACCUGGUUCCACAUACCUAAACUAUUCCCAGUCAUGGUUCAAAAAAUGUAUAUUUAUAUAGACGGCAGGCACAGGGCAUGCUGGGAAGUUUAACUAUAAACUGGUCUCUGAUUGGCCAUAAUUUUCCUGACGUGUGUAAAACAGCACAGACUGGUGUUGGACUGUGAAGUGUCUUUUGGUGCUUGUAAAGUUGUCCGGUCGUGUGUUUGUGGUACACCCUCAAGGAUGAGCCUUAGUUUGGGUGCCAGUUGAGUUUAUUUAACUGUGGAAAUAUAUCAGAGAGACACACACAUGUGUAUGUGUGCGUGUAUAUAUUUGUAUACUUGAUCUGAUGUGCAGGUAUGAUGAUGAUAAAAAAAUGACUCUCCGAUUGUCCCCAAGGGGGGUAUAGAAAAUAAUCCUCAUGAAGUCACAUCACUGCAUGUAUACAAUAUCAUCUGACCUGGUUCCAGAUACCAAAACUAUUCCCAGUCAUAGUUCAAAAAAUGUAUAUUUAUAUAGAGGCCAUCACCAGCAUCAGUGUUUUGAAGAGUAGGUUGAAGACUGUCUAUUUUGUUAGAGCUUAUACUUAUCUGUAAACAUUCAUGUCUCAUUAAUACAUAAUACUACAUUAACUUCUUCUUCUUAGGGGGGAAGAAGUUAUGUGUGGGGGGGGGGGGGGGGUUGUGCUUUGUCGUCUUGCAGGUUCUCAUGGAUCGUGGCUGCAGCUGUGGUCCUGUGCGAUGUCCAUCUGUGAUGCAUCUAUGUCUCUCUCUCUCUCUCUCUCCCUCUCUCCCUCUCUCUCGCUCUGUCUCUCUCUCUCUCUCUCUCUCUCUCCUUUACCCCUACACCCUCGCCCCCGUCUCUCCCUCUCUCUGUAACUCAACCGGUCGCGGCAGAUGACCGUCCACCAAUGAGCUUGGUUCUGCUCGAGGUUUCUACCUGUUAAAAGGUAGUUUUUCCUCGCCACUGUCGCCAAGUGCUUGCUCAUGGUGGAUUUGUUGGGUCUCUAUAGAUAAUAUUAUGAAAAGUAUGGUCUAGACCUGCUCUAAUCUACCCCAAUCAUAGUUUUCACAUUAAUAUUGUAUUAUGAUUGCCCUUAAAGCCCUUGGGUCGAAGACUUCACUAUACUUUGAUUGCAAUGAUGAUUGUUGUGAUGAACAUUUUAUUUCAAUAAAAAAUGAUAAUCUAGAA